rnacentral:misc_RNA from 1 species
UCUCCUCACGACCCUGUCCGACAACAAAGUGAUGUGGGUUUACUUCAACGUGCCCGAGGCCCGCUACCUCGAGUACAAGGCCCAGCCCGAGAACCGACAGAAUAAUUCGCAACUCAAACUCGCGGAUGCGCGCAUCGAACUUCUGCUGGCCAAUGGCAAAAAGUUCGAGCAAGACCCCGGCAACACGGUCACUGUCGAGGGCAAAUUCAACAACGAGACUGGCAACAUCGCCUUCCGCUCGGAUUUCCCGAACUUGAACGGCCUGCUGCGUCACGGCCAGACCGGCACCGUGCUGAUCCAC